rnacentral:rRNA from 1 species
AUCUACAGUCAUAUCACACCAAUUGUGUUCCAUCUUGACUGAUCUUGGAAGCUAAGAAGGGUUGGGCCUGGUUAUUAUAUGUUAGGAGACAGUUGAUG